UACGUAGGGAGCAAGCGUUGUUCGGAUUUACUGGGCGUAAAGGGCGCGUAGGCGGUUCGUUAAGUCCUGUGUGAAAUCCCCCGGCUCAACUGGGGAACUGCACAGGAAACUAGCGGGCUUGAGUUCGGGAGAGGGAAGCGGAAUUCCGGGUGUAGCGGUGAAAUGCGUAGAUAUCCGGAGGAACACCGGUGGCGAAGGCGGCUUCCUGGACCGACACUGACGCUGAGGCGCGAAAGCUAGGGGAGCAAACGGG
rnacentral:rRNA from 1 species